rnacentral:rRNA from 1 species
AUUGAACGCUGGCGGCAGGUGCCUUACACAUGCAAGUCGAACGGUAACGGGCCUUCGGGUGCCGACGAGUGGCGAACGGGUGAGUAAUGCAUCGGAACGUACCUUUCAGUGGGGGAUAACGUAGCGAAAGUUACGCUAAUACCGCAUAUUCUGUGAGCAGGAAAGCAGGGGAUCGCAAGACCUUGCGCUGAUUGAGCGGCCGAUGUCAGAUUAGCUAGUUGGUGAGGUAAAGGCUCACCAAGGCGACGAUCUGUAGCGGGUCUGAGAGGAUGAUCCGCCACACUGGAACUGAGACACGGUCCAGACUCCUACGGGAGGCAGCAGUGGGGAAUUUUGGACAAUGGGGGCAACCCUGAUCCAGCCAUGCCGCGUGAGUGAAGAAGGCCUUCGGGUUGUAAAGCUCUUUCGGCCGGGAAGAAAUCGCAUGGGCUAAUACCCUGUGCGGAUGACGGUACCGGCAUAAGAAGCACCGGCUAACUACGUG